GACGAAUGCUGGCGGCGUGCUUAACACAUGCAAGUCGAACGAUGAAGCAAAGAAUUGAAGCUUCGGCAGAAAUUCAUUUCGGAUUAGUGGCGGACGGGUGAGUAACGCGUGAGCAACCUACCUCUUACAAAGGGAUAGCCUCGGGAAACCGGGAUUAAUACCAUAUAACAUUGCGACGAAGCAUUUCGAUGCAAUCAAAGCUACGGCGGUAAGAGAUGGGCUCGCGUCCCAUUAACCAGAUGGUGAGGUAACGGCUCACCAUAGUAACGAUGGGUAACCGGCCUGAGAGGGUGAACGGUCACACUGGAACUGAGACACGGUCCAGACUCCUACGGGAGGCAGCAGUGGGGAAUAUUGCACAAUGGAGGGAACUCUGAUGCAGCGACGCCGCGUGAGUGAUGAAGGAAUUCGUUUCGUAAAACUCUGUUCUAUGGGAAGAAAAGGACUGUACCAUAGGAGAAAGCUCCGGCUAAAUACGUG
rnacentral:rRNA from 1 species